rnacentral:rRNA from 1 species
CGGGAUUGAAGCUUGCUUCAAUUGCCGGCGACCGGCGCACGGGUGAGUAACGCGUAUCCAACCUUCCGUACACUCAGGGAUAGCCUUUCGAAAGAAAGAUUAAUACCUGAUAGUAUGGUGAGAUUGCAUGAUAACACCAUUAAAGAUUUAUUGGUAAACGAUGGGGAUGCGUUCCAUUAGGUAGUAGGCGGGGUAACGGCCCACCAAGGCGACGAUCAGUAGCCGGUCUGAGAGGAUGUCCGGCCACACUGGAACUGAGACACGGUCCAGACACC